GAUGAACGCUGGCGGCGUGCCUAAUACAUGCAAGUCGAGCGAACAGACGAGGAGCUUGCUCCUCUGACGUUAGCGGCGGACGGGUGAGUAACACGUGGAUAACCUACCUAUAAGACUGGGAUAACUUCGGGAAACCGGAGCUAAUACCGGAUAAUAUAUUGAACCGCAUGUUCAAUAGUGAAAGACGGUUUUGCUGUCACUUAUAGAUGGAUCCGCGCCGCAUUAGCUAGUUGGUAAGGUAACGGCUUACCAAGGCGACGAUGCGUAGCCGACCUGAGAGGGUGAUCGGCCACACUGGAACUGAGACACGGUCCAGACUCCUACGGGAGGCAGCAGUAGGGAAUCUUCCGCAAUGGGCGAAAGCCUGACGGAGCAACGCCGCGUGAGUGAUGAAGGUCUUCGGAUCGUAAAACUCUGUUAUUAGGGAAGAACAAAUGUGUAAGUAACUAUGCACGUCUUGACGGUACCUAAUCAGAAAGCCACGGCUAACUACGUG
rnacentral:rRNA from 1 species